ACAAGCGUGGAGUAUGUGGUUUAAUUCGAAGCAACGCGAAGAACCUUUACCAGGUCUUGACAUACCGGGCAAAGCCUCAGAGAUGAGGAAAUAGUUAUGCCGGAUACAGGUGGUGCAUGGUUGUCGUCAGCUCGUGUCGUGAGAUGUUGGGUUAAGUCCCGCAACGAGCGCAACCCUUGUCUUCAGUUACCAUCAUUCAGUUGGGGACUCUGGAGAGACUGCCGGUGACAAACCGGAGGAAGGUGGGGAUGACGUCAAAUCAUCAUGCCCCUUAUGACCUGGGCUACACACGUACUACAAUGGCGUAUACAACGGGAAGCGAAAUGGUGACAUGGAGCAAAUCUCACAAAGUACGUCUCAGUUCGGAUUGAAGUCUGCAACUCGACUUCAUGAAGUCGGAAUCGCUAGUAAUCGCGGAUCAGCAUGCCGCGGUGAAUACGUUCUCGGGCCUU
rnacentral:rRNA from 1 species